UUUGUUUUAUGAAUAAGUAAAAGUGGAAAUUGUGGUUUGGAAUAUAUGAAUUAGAAGAUAAGGAAUUGUGGUUUGAAAUGAAAAUAAAGAUAGGGUUUGGAAUAUAUGAAGUAGAAGAUAAGGAAUAUGGGGUUUGGGGUUUCGGAUUUUAGGGAUUUAAACGGAAUACUCGUUAAUUCCUCGUAUGUUGACGUUGAACUUACAACGAAUUCCUCGUUUAUUCCACGUAGGAGAGAUUCGUCGUAAAUACCACGUAGGACAAAUUCGUCGUAAAUACCACGUAGGAGAGAUUCGUCGUAAAUACCACGCAAAAUAAAUGAUGAACGCGGCCCACUUUAAUUCCACGUAGGACGGAAUCGUCGUAAAAACCACGUAACCAAAAUCGUCGUAAACACCUCGUACUGUAAAAACUAGAAAAAAAAAGAAAAAGAAGAAAUAUACUCGAUUUUGUGUAGUUUGUUUUAUGAAUAAGGUAAUGUGAGAGUUUGUUUUAUGAAUAAGGUAAUGUGGGAGUUUGUUUUGUGAAUAAGAAAAUGUGGGAGUUUGUUUUAUGAAUAAGUAAAAGUGAGAAUUGUGGUUUGGAAUAUAUGAAUUAGAAGAUAGGGAAUUGUGGUUUGGAAUGAAAAUAAAGAUAGGGUUUGGAAUAUAUGAAGUAGAAGAUAAGGAAUAUGGGGUUUGGGGUUUGGGGUUUCGGAUUUUAGGGAUUUAAACGGAAUACUCGUUAAUUCCUCGUAUGUUGACGUCGAACUUACGACGAAUUCCUCGUUUAUUCCACGUAGGAGAGAUUCGUCGUAAAUACCACGUAGGACAAAUUCGUCGUAAAUACCACGUAGGACAAAUUCCUCGUUUAUUCCACGUAGGAGAGAUUCGUCGUAAAUACCACGUAGGACAAAUUCGUCGUAAAUACCACGUAACCAAAAUCGUCGUAAACACCUCGUACUGUAAAAACUAGAAAAAAAAAGAAAAAGAAGAAAUAUAC
rnacentral:lncRNA from 1 species